GGAUGUGGGAACGAUCUGGCUGUGACAUCUCUCACUGGUUAAUCACUAGGGUUGAUUUGGUUGAUCUGGCUGGUUAGGCAGAUGUCCCUCCCUCACCACUCUAGGUGCUCAGUUGAAGAGGACAAUCUUUCCCAAAUAGAGGUGGACCAGUCUUUUGAUCACAGUACAUGAGUAGCUGCACUUCAUGCUAGAACUCCCAAACAAGCUCUUGAAAGGUAAAAGUUUUAAAGUUGCCUCCCCCCCCAGACAAAGUUU
rnacentral:snRNA from 1 species